GAUGAACGCUGGCGGCGUGCCUAACACAUGCAAGUCGAGCGAAGCACUUUGCUUAGAUUCUUCGGAUGAAGAGGAUUGUGACUGAGCGGCGGACGGGUGAGUAACGCGUGGGUAACCUGCCUCAUACGGGGGGAUAACAGUUAGAAAUGACUGCUAAUACCGCAUAAGACCACAGCACCGCAUGGUGCGGGGGUAAAAACUCCGGUGGUAUGAGAUGGACCCGCGUCUGAUUAGCUAGUUGGUAAGGUAACGGCUUACCAAGGCGACGAUCAGUAGCUGACCUGAGAGGGUGACCGGCCACAUUGGGACUGAGACACGGCCCAAACUCCUACGGGAGGCAGCAGUGGGGAAUAUUGCACAAUGGGGGAAACCCUGAUGCAGCGACGCCGCGUGAGCGAAGAAGUAUUUCGGUAUGUAAAGCUCUAUCAGCAGGGAAGAAAAUGACGGUACCUGACUAAGAAGCACCGGCUAAAUACGUGCCAGCAGCCGCGGUAAUACGUAUGGUGCAAGCGUUAUCCGGAUUUACUGGGUGUAAAGGGAGCGUAGACGGAUGGGCAAGUCUGAUGUGAAAACCCGGGGCUCAACCCCGGGACUGCAUUGGAAACUGUUCAUCUAGAGUGCUGGAGAGGUAAGUGGAAUUCCUAGUGUAGCGGUGAAAUGCGUAGAUAUUAGGAGGAACACCAGUGGCGAAGGCGGCUUACUGGACAGUAACUGACGUUGAGGCUCGAAAGCGUGGGGAGCAAACAGGAUUAGAUACCCUGGUAGUCCACGCCGUAAACG
rnacentral:rRNA from 1 species